rnacentral:rRNA from 1 species
UAGUGGCGAACGGGUGAGUAACACGUGGGCCNAUCUGCCCUUCACUCUGGGACAAGCCCUGGAAACGGGGUCUAAUACCGGAUAACACCUGCCCGGGCAUCCGGGUGGGUUAAAAGCUCCGGCGGUGAAGGAUGAGCCCGCGGCCUAUCAGCUUGUUGGUGAGGUAGUGGCUCACCAAGGCGACGACGGGUAGCCGGCCUGAGAGGGCGACCGGCCACACUGGGACUGAGACACGGCCCAGACUCCUACGGGAGGCAGCAGUGGGGAAUAUUGCACAAUGGGCGAAAGCCUGAUGCAGCGACGCCGCGUGAGGGAUGACGGCCUUCGGGUUGUAAACCUCUUUCAGCAGGGAAGAAGCGAAAGUGACGGUACCUGCAGAAGAAGCGCCGGCUAACUACGUGCCAGCAGCCGCGGUAAUACGUAGGGCGCAAGCGUUGUCCGGAAUUAUUGGGCGUAAAGAGCUCGUAGGCGGCUUGUCACGUCGGGUGUGAAAGCCCGGGGCUUAACCCCGGGUCUGCAUUCGAUACGGGCUAGCUAGAGUGUGGUAGGGGAGAUCGGAAUUCCU